rnacentral:scRNA from 1 species
UGGGCUAUGGUUCAUCCAGAUGUUUCCUGGAU